GGGCGGUUAGCUCAGUUGGUAGAGCAGCGCUUUUACACAGCGAAGGUCACAGGUUCGAAUCCUGUAUCGCCCA
rnacentral:tRNA from 1 species